rnacentral:rRNA from 1 species
AGCAGCCGCGGUAAUUCCAGCUCCAAUAGCGUAUAUUAAAGUUGUUGCAGUUAAAAGCUCGUAGUUGAAUUUCGGGAUCAGUUGAUCGGUCGUGCCUCGGUACGUGCUGGUCAAAUUGAUUCCUACCUUCUGACGAACCACGAUGUCAUUAAUUUGAUGUCGCGGGAAAUCAGGACUGUUACUUUGAAAAAUUAGAGUGUUUAAAGCAGGCUCGCGCUUGAAUACAUUAGCAUGGAAUAAUGAAAUAGGACGUUUGAUCUAUUUUGUUGGUUUUCUAGGAUCGACGUAAUGAUUAAUAGGGAUAGUUGGGGGCAUU